CAGCAUGGCACUGGGAUUUCAUGCUGAGUUGUUUGUUCGCUAUGACACCUAAAUCCUUUUCUGAGUCACAGAAAUAUGACCUUGUGUUUUAUUAAAGCUCAGUAUUUGAAUGGACCCAGCUUAGCAAGUGAUCCAGAUCACAAUAUCUCCAUAACAUCCCCCACUUACAGAAGGGAAUCCCCUACUCAGUCACCUUCACCUGCUGCUGUCCCUGUUCUCUUUCCUUUUCUCCGGGAUCUGCAUGUGUCAUUUUUGGGGGAGUUCUCCUCCUCUCUUUGCCCUGGAAUAGGGUAGCACAGCCCCUGAGAUUUCCCUCCUCAGUAUCCAAGGAUGAAGUGACCAAACUGCAUGCAGGAUUGGUGGUGAAGGAAAGAAAGAUAUUUCUGUGAAAUAGCAAUGUACUUUGUGCGCAUUCUGGUAUUGAUUUCACUGAGGGCUCAUCCAGAGAACACUUCUGGCUUCUCCACUAGUCAGUACUCAGCUCAGCAUUGACUUUAAACUAUAUUAGUAGAUUGUCAUGGAAAUAAAUAUUCAACUGUGUGAAAACGAUCAGUUUUACUGGGGUUUCUAGUAACAACUCAGUGACUUGUAACUUGUUUUAGCCUUAUUGCUUCAGUGGAAACCCAGAUUCUUAUUAACCCUCCUCUUGUCAUUAUUUUCUAUAAAAUUUAUUUAUUGUCCUAGCA